rnacentral:misc_RNA from 1 species
GAUGAAGAACGUAGCGAAAUGCGAUACUUGGUGUGAAUUGCAGAAUCCCGUGAACCAUCGAGUCUUUGAACGCAAGUUGCGCCUCAAGCCAUUAGGUUGAGGGCACGUCUGCCUGGGCGUCACAUAUCGUUGCCUGAUGCCAGUUUCCUCGUGAUGGGUGACUGUGCAGGGCGAAUGAUGGCUUCCCGUGAGCAUUGUUGCCUCAUGGUUGGUUGAAAAUUGAGUCCUUGGUAGGGAGCGCCGUGAUAGAUGGUGGUUGAGUGACGAACGAGACCCAAUCAUGUGAGACCCCUACCGAAUUUGGCCUUCAUGACCCACAUGCGUCUUUGGAACUCUCAUGACGAGACCUCAGGUCAGGCGGGGCUACCCGCUGAGUUUAAGCAUAUCAAUAAGCGGAGGA